rnacentral:rRNA from 1 species
UGCAACGCGAAAACCUUACUACCCUUGACAUGUCUGGAACCUUGGUGAGAGCCGAGGUGCUUCGGGAGCCAGAACACAGGUGCUGCAUGGCUGUCGUCAGCUCGUGUCGUGAGAUGUUGGGUUAAGUCCCGCAACGAGCGCAACCCUUGUCAUUAGUUGCCAUCAUUUGGUUGGGCACUCUAAUGAGACUGCCGGUGACAAACCGGAGGAAGGUGGGGAUGACGUCAAGUCCUCAUGGCCCUUAUAGGUGGGGCUACACACGUCAUACAAUGGCCGGUACAGAGGGUAGCCAACCCGCGAGGGGGGAGCCAAUCCCACAAAGCCGGUCGUAGUCCGGAUCGCAGUCUGCAACUCGACUGCGUGAAGUCGGAAUCGCUAGUAAUCGCGGAUCAGCAUGUCGCGGUGAAUACGUUCCCGGGUCUU